rnacentral:rRNA from 1 species
CCUUCUUUACGAGUACCUCUUGUUCUUCCUCGGCGGGGCAACCUGCCGGUGGAACCUUUACAAACUCUUUUGCAUCUAAGAAGUACUGUUCUGAUAGACCAAAAUCGUUAACAACUUUCAACAAUGGAUCUCUUGGCUCUGGCAUCGAUGAAGAACGCAGCGAAAUGCGAUAAGUAGUGUGAAUUGCAGAAUCCAGUGAAUCAUCGAAUCUUUGAACGCACAUUGCGCCCCUCGGUAUUCCGUGGGGCAUGCCUGUUCGAGCGUCAUUUACACCUUCAAGCACUGCUUGGUGUUGGGCGUCUGUCC